AGUAGUUGUUAGAACUUAUGUUCGAAACUCCAGUCUCCGCGUUCGCUUCAGUACUUAUGUGACCAUUGUGCUGUAAGUGUGUCAUUUCGUGACUUUAGCUUGCGUAACGUCAGUUCUCCAUAUUCUGGAGAAAGAAAAUUCCCUGUCAACCCCGUGGAGUCAAAUGGCAAAGAGGUAUAAUACUGUUUAAUAAUGGGCUUAUCAAUCAAGUGGAAAUUUAUGGGUGUGCCAUAUAUUCUGCCUAACUUUCCAAGAGGGUAGCAUUAUGUACUAGUAGAUGGGAAUAAGUAAGAGCUAAGGCUCCCCUUCACCUGUACUGAACUUUUCUGAACCUAACAGCGAAGUGAUAAUAUGCUGGCUGAGGGCCUACAGAUUUCGUGGCCGUUUUCCCAACUUGUGAAUCUGACCUGCAGUUGGUUGCUGAGUUGAGAAAGACUGCUGGAGCACAAUUAGGAACAGGAGUCGAACCUCAAGCGACAACAGUACUUGAGCAAGCAAGCAAACAGUGCGUUGAGGGAGGUCAACAAUGCCAGGCUACACAUCUAUGGGCAGCUGGAAUUAUUGGUUCAGGAACUAGAAAGAACAACCAGAAUCUCUCUGCAGAAGGAGCUGCUGACACGAGGAAAAUCAAAAGUCCAAGCAGUAUCGUUUCAGUAUUAAGAUUAAGGAAUUAAGUUUCAGGUUCUGUACUGUAAGAUUAGUGUUAAUAAAUUAGGUUAAAGAGAAUCAAGUUUUAUUUAAGAAUUUAAAGUCUGCAAAUUCAUGAAAAAACACAUCAAUGGAAAGAGGGAGAUAUGCAAAUGCACGUUUUGAAAAAAAAAAAUUCUUAAGAGAUUUUCCUUACUUUCUAUGAGAAGUGGAAAAUGACUAUUUACAACCCCUUGUGUGUGGCCUCUUUUGCAAGACAGUUGUAAAUUUUACCAACUUAUUUAUGUUUUUGCGAAUAGAUAAUUGUAUUUUAUUUUGUAAAAUUAUAAUUACAGCUCACACAAAAUCAAACAUACAAAAAGACAUCAUGUGAGAGAGACAUGCAGUACUACGUGCCUUCUCCCUUCAAGUCAGAAACAGAACUGGUCCUGAAAUGCCCCACACUCGUGAUUUUAGUCAGUGUAAAAGUUGCCAUUAGUGAAUUUAUGGGCUAUGAAAGUAUGGGGUCUCGAUGGCACAUAAUAUUGUUUAUCUACAGGGUCAAUCCGUCCACCACCCUAAAGCUCUUAUUACUACUCCCGAGGAGCAAUCAGUUCAUUAGGGUUAAAGGGCUCUUCUAACGUGGCAGAUGCCCUUUCCUGAAAGUCCAUCAACACUGCUCAGAUUGGGGUAUCAUCAUUGGCACAGAAGGAUGACAGCGCCUCAGAGGUGUGAUCGGUUUGGUCUUGGCCUGCCACCUCGGUGGCUGCGAGUUCGAUUCUCAAGCAUUCCAUUGAGGGGUCAGAGAUGUGUAUUUCUGGUGAUAAACGUUCACUCUUGAUUUGGUUCGGAAGUCACGUAAAGCCGUUGGUCCCGUUGCCGAAUAACCACUGGUUCCAUGCAAUGUAAAAUCACCAUACAAACAAACAAGCAUCAGAAGGAUGACGUGGACCUACAGCAACCAUGGCGGGAGAACCCCUUUACCCAUACGUAACAUUAGGGUUGGGAAAGAAAGCCUUUGACCUCGCCCACAAUCUGUCCCACCAUCGAGCAGAUCAACCACCCUAAUCCUGUUGAAGUGGUACAUCUGGUGGGAAAUGAAGGUGGACAUGAAAAAUAACGAGGCACACAGAAACGGGGAUAGGAGAGUUCCAGACUACAUACCUAUGACUAGCCCACAUGCACGCCAACAUUAGGACCCCUGCCUGCCUCUGAGGGGUACAGGUAUAUCUUCACGAUCAUUGACAAGAAUACCAGAUGGCCAGAAGCAAUGCCAGUAAGGCAGCAGACAGUAGAGAUUUGUGUGAGAGCACUAGUAGGCUGGGUCAGCAGGCAUGAAGUACGUACCGCAGCACAUAACAAGCAACAGAGGAGCCAACUUCACCUGUACCUAAUGGGGCUCCCUCGCUGCCGGCCUUGGGACAAAACCCAUUUGCAUAACCAUGCAACCCAGUAGCGAACAGCCUAGUGGAGUGGCUGCACCACUCCCUCAAAUCAGUACUCGCUGGGAGAUGUUAAGGUGGGAGAUGGAGAAAGAAAUUACCAUGGGUCUUGCAGGGACUAGGAACAGCCCCACAUGCAGCAUUUAACGCAUUCUCAGUAGAAACACUAAAUGGACAAGGGAUGGCAAUACUGGCAGACUUUUUUUUCAAAACCUGAGAGCCCACAACUCUUCCAGACAUCUGUAGAGCAUUGGAAAACAUCAUGCUGUCGAAUUCUACAUACGAUGUAGCAAGAAUAGAAUAAGUCUCCAAAUACAUACCUCAACGGCGUCAGUAACCUCUAAAGAGCAAAGUAUGCAUUCAUAAGAAUAGAUGCAUACAAGCUCCGCCUCUCUCCAGCCUACUCAGGACCACACCAGAUACUGCAACAAGGAGAGGAAAUGUACCAGCUGUCAGAGAAUCAACUGGGUCUCAACUGGUAGAUUAAAACCAGCUUACAUCCCAGACUGCGACCCACUCCCCUAGCCCUGCUUUUGGGUUGAGGGGGGGGGUGGGGGGAGUUCUGUGAGGUCCCAGUUGGUCACCAGGACCCUCAAGGCAUCCUCUCUUCAAAAACAAAAAUCUGCUUGAUACGCCGAGUACUCUCGAGAAACAUAGAUCCAGCACUCCUGAUUCAAACUAUCAUUUAUACAUUUUUCAGAAGCUACAUUAUGACACUGUCAGAACUGUAAUUAUGAAUGCAUGUCAGACAUUGCAAGCUUUCCAACCUUAUGUAUUGAACUCUCUUUCCAGUUUGUAUAUAGAAUUGUUAACCAUUUUUCCAGGUGUGAGAAAACACAUUAGCUGUAUUUGGAUAUCUCUGUUUUUCCCUAAUGUCAAAUGGUACUUUUAC